UACAGAGGUCUCAACCGUUGUUCGGAUUCAUUGGGCGUAAAGGGUGCGUAGGCGGUCGUGCAAGUCGGAUGUGAAAUCUCAGGGCUCAACCCUGAAACUGCAUUCGAUACUGCGCGGCUAGAGUGCUGGAGGGGAGACUGGAAUUUACGGUGUAGCAGUGAAAUGCGUAGAUAUCGUAAGGAAGACCAGUGGCGAAGGCGAGUCUCUGGACAGCAACUG
rnacentral:rRNA from 1 species